GAGUUAAUGAGCUCCUUAACGAGCUCGGUCUCGGAACGAAUUAAACUCAUAAGUCAAGGCCCCACUGUAUAUAGGAACGCCAAAUGACCAGAACAUACCAGAAUUUCCCUUUAUCUAGGGCUACUGUUUUCAACAAGCUUAACACUUUGAAAACAGUUGGCCCAGGAGCUAUCAUUGGCUACGUGGAAGAGGCCCAUUAGCUGAGCCCAUUACCUUUGUAGGAAGCAAUCAGAACCUAUGUCCUAAGAAGGGAGAUGUGACUACACCCCUGGUGAGCCCACCUUCCAACUUCUGACACCUUGCCUUGCAACACACAAACCUGCCUGUUCCUGACUGCAACCUCCUUGGGAAGGAAUGGGCGUGGCCUUCUUCUGGAGAAGCUCCUUAAGCAGGGAGUUUGGGGAAAGACAGUCUGAGACUCCCUUGUCAUUUAUAGCUCAGUCUGAGUUUUUGGGUUCUUCCCUGGGAAAGGCUAAUGACAUGGCAGGUGGGCAGGAGAGGAUUUGAAAGGAGGAGAUGAGAGGGGGUGGAAUCAGAGAAUGGGGCCCUUCAAAAAGACUGGGGAACCUGACUAUCCUGGCCCUGAUGCAGUACACCCUUUGCUAGCAGCUCAUUUCUCCAAGUUACUGUUUUCAAAUACCAUGCUGAGUGACUGGACUCACACUAACAUGAUCCUAGACAUCACAUUCACCUUCUCUGUGAGUGAGCAGCCUCUUAAAAUCCCCAAUCUCUUCCCUGGUGUCAUUGGGCUUAGAGGAGUUUCAUAUUUAACACAGCCUCUUUCUUCUCCUCAUGCUGUAUAUUUGAACCUGGAAAAACACUCUUCCCUGCUCUAUCUGCUCUCAAAUCAAUUUACGGUGGGGAAAAAUCCUUCUCUGGUCUUAGAACACACAAAUAAAUGCAUUUUGAACAGAACACCUGAUUGGAUAUCCUAACUGGGAAAGUUGAAUGAACUUUUAUCAUGACAUGCACUGUCAGAGAAAAGUCUAAGUUCAGGCCCUUUACAACUGGCACUCUGGACCCAGGAGGUAAGUCGAGUCAAGAUGAAAAAAGAAUGAAAUGGUGUGAGGCAGGAAUAAAGGUUCUCCAAAUAAUUGUUCAUGUUGAAUAUUUUUGUUUGGUAAUAUCUUUAUUGAGAUAAAGUUCACACACCAUACAAAUUUCACCCAUUUAAAGUGUACAAUUCAGUGACUUUUAGUAUAGAGUUGAGAAUCAUGAUCACAAUCAAUUAAAAAAAUCAUCACCCCCCCAAAAAAAACCCCACACCCAUUAGCUAUCACCCCACUAACCCACUUGCCCACUCCAGUCAUAGGCAACCACUGAUCUAUUUCUGUCUCUACAGCCAAUUCUGGACAUUUCUUAGAAAUUGAAUCUUACACAAUAUGUGGUCUUUUCUGUCUGGAUUCUUUCGCUUAGUGGUGUUUUCAAGGUUCGUUCAUGUUGUAGCAUAUAUCAUAUUUCAUUCCUUUUUAUGGCAGAAUAUCAUUCCACUAUAGAGGUAGACCACAUUAUAUUAUCUAUUCAUUCGUUGAUGGACAUUUGGAUUAUUUCCACGUUUUUUGGCUAUUUACAAAUAAUGUUGCUACAAUUGUGUACAAGUUUUUGUGUAGUCAUGUUUUCAUUUAUCUUGGGUAUAUAUACCUAGCAGGGGAACUGCUGGGUCAUAUGAUAACCCUGUUUAAACUUCUGAGUAACCAUCAGACAAUUUUCCAAAGUGGUUAUACCAUUUUACACUCACACCAGCAGUCUAUUAGGGUUCUAAUUUCUCUACACUUGUUAUUAUCUGUCUUUUGGAUUAUAGCCACCCUGGGGAGUAUGAAGUAGUAUCUCAUUGUGGUUUUGAUUUGCAUUUCCCCAUGACUUAUGAUGCUAAGCAUCUUUUCAUGUGUUUACUGGCCUUUUGUACACUUCAUUGGAAACAUGUCAAUUAAGAUUCUUUGUCCAUUUUAAAUUCAGCUAUCUUUUUGAAUUGUAAGAGUUUUAAAAUUUAUUUUGGAUACAAUUCCCUUAUUAGACAUAUGAUCUGAAAAUGUUUUCUCAUAUUCUGUGGAUUGGCUUUUUAUUUUCUUAAUGGAGUCCUUUGAAACACACAUUUUAAAAUUUUGAUGAAAUCCAAUUUAUUUUUCUCUUUAGUUGCUUGUGCUUUGGAGUUUUAUCUGGAAAACUAUUGCCAAAUCCAUAUCAUAAAGAUUUACUAUGAUUCCUUCCAGGAGUUUUAUAGUUUUACCUCUUAAAUUUAGAUCUUUGAUCCAUUUUGAAUUAAUUUGUAUAUAUGGUAUGAAAUAGAGGUCCAACUUCAUUGUUUGCAUCCUUAUGCCAGCACCACACUGUUUUGAUUAUUGUAGCCCUUGUAGUAAGUUUUGAAAUUAGACCAUGUGAGUCCUCCAACUUUGUUCUUCUUCAAGAUUGUUUUGAUUAUUCUAAGUCCCUUGACUUUCCAUAUCAAUUUUAGGAUCAACUUGUUUUCUACAAAGAAGUCAGCUGAGAUUUCACAAGGGAAAUUGUUCAAUACUUCAGAAUUUAAUAAACAAUGAGAUACUGAAAUCCGUAAAAUGUUUAUCUGCAGGUAAUUUGUUUACAACAGCAUAUGAUUUUUUACUUCAUUGAAUUCAUGCCAGAAUGUAUAAAAAUAAAACUUUUAUUGAGGGACAUCUGAAGCCUAGCAGAAUUUUGCUACUAAACACAUGUACUAUGUUUGCAGCAUUAUUUCUUUUGUGGGGGAAACUUUCAAUUAAAAAAUAUAUAGUGUAGCAAAAACUCAUUCUAUUACCUUAUGUUAACAUGUUUACUUUUCUUUUCAGAAAUGCUAGUGUAGUCUACACUUGUUGAUUUUUUUUAAAUUGUGGUAAAAUAUACAAAACAUAUUGCAGAUUUAAAAACAGCUAAAUUAAAUGCUAUGAACAUAAAAAGUGGCAGUUACUUUUGCCAAGAUAAAGAAAAAGGUCUGAACUGAUUUGGGUAUUCAGUGAGGGAGGAGGUCACUUGGACAUAGCAAAGGUAUUUCAAAAUAAAAAUGGCACUAUGAAUCUAGUCUCAGAACCUGGAAGAUUGCACACCUAAAGUGAGCCUUUGAACAGACACUGCCAGAAGCCCACCUUUUUGACUACCUGCAAUUGCUGAGGCCUGCUGACAAAUGUACAGCUGUAAGGGCUGUUGUUUCCCCCAGGAUCCAAGAGUAGCUCCAAACUAUAAGUAACUUCAAGUCACAAUGGUUCUUAACCUGGACAGUGUUACAGGGCUGAUGUGAAGAUCAAAUAGGAUAAAUGCAUCUGAAGUGCUUAAUGAGCUCUCCAUAGCUGGCAAUCAAAAUUCUGUGACAUUCCUUUUCAACUUCAUAGGGCUGCUAACUAGGGCACAAAUACUAGCAACAAUGUUGUAAUACCUAACAUUUAUUGAGAAUCUACCAAGUGCUUUGCAAAGUAUCAUCUCAUCAAAUCUUCAAAACAACCCUAUGAGAGACAAAAGUGCAGGCCAAGAACAGGUUACAGGUUAGUAAAUUUGGCGCCUGGCCUGUUUUUGUAAAUAAUUUUACUGGAACACAGACACACCCAUCAUUUUCAAAUGCUUUUUGCACUGCAAUAGCAGAAUUGAGUAGUAGAAACCCUAUGGCUCACAGAGUCUCAAAUAUUUACUAUUUGGGCCUUUAUAGAAAAAGUUUGCCAACCCCCUGCUCUAAAACACAAAGAAACCCUUAUUAAGUUCUCCAUCUUUGCUUUCUCCAUGGCACUGAGCAGGAGGCUGGCAUCUCUUCCCAUCCUCCAAGACCCACCAAGUGAACGACUAGGAACAUGCAAAGGAGACAAUACUCAAGUGUAAAAGAAACCAGUUUUCAAAAUGCCAGAAGGGGAAAAAAGCUUUAUAAAUACAAAAAAAAUUAUCAACAUCAUUAAAUAACAGGAUUUGCCCUGCUUUACAUUAAUUUCGGUCCCUUAAACUGAUUCCAACUUCAAAGGCCCAUUUUCUCUCAUUUGAAUUCCAACAAGUUCUUUACAAAGAAGGAACUAAUUGAAGAGCUUGCUUUUCAAACUCAAGGGACAACAGUUUUCAAGACUGGGAUGGCCUGGCAAUCAUUUCAGUCAGUGCAAAAUCUGCAUUUUAUUAAAGACAUUUGGGAAGAUCCAUUCAAAAAUACAUUGUGCUCAGUAAAAAUUAACCAUUUCAUGCUGAUAAUUUAGGUUACCACGGAAUAGAUAUUUGUAUAAUAUUUACAACAACAAUAGAAAUUUUACAGAAGUUUAGAAUGGAAUACAUGCCAGAAAAAACUUGGUAAGAUGUAGGAACACAUGAUACAAAGAGUUAUAUAAACAUUUUACAAAUGGUUCAUAAUUAGCUUGUGAGGAAUUUAAAUAUUCAACACUUUAAAUUCAGUUUGGAUUCAAAAAUUAAAAAGGUUAACACUACAGCACACCCUUGCCACAGUAAAAAGUAUGGAAUUACACUUUGCAUUAUGGAUUUAUAAAGUCUGUGCAAUUAAGAAUUUCCACUGAUUCUUCAACUACCACAAAUUUGGAUGUUACAUCAGUCUGACUUAUACCUAUUUUUGUUUUCAUGCAUGAGCAGGGUUCUCAAAGUUACCCUGCCCUGUGUCUUCCCAGAUACCACCUUCAAACCUCCUAGAGAUUGAAGAAGCUCGGAAUAGUCUUCUAAGUAUAUACAGAAUAACUACCUGAAUUUAAAAUGUCACAAAAGCAAUUCCUGAAGAUAGGAAGUAGGGGCCACUAUUUUGUUUGGUUUAAUUGUUUCUGUUAAUCAAUCCAAGUUUACAGUGAGAAUUAACUUCCUGCAUUCACAGCAUUACCCCUCCAGCCUGACUCCAUCAGUGCCCAAAGAGGAAACAAGGAGAGGGAAAUAGACUGAGAGGACUAUAUAUAACCAAUCGUAUAUCUCUAGUGAAAAUGGGUUUUGUACAAACGUUGCUUUCCACUAUGGAAAACCUAAGCCAUCAUGGAGAACUUCAAAGUUCUCCAGAAGGAAAAGUAUCUUUUUUUUUUCCUUGAACCUCUGAAUGCUUUGCAACUGAAGCUUUUGACAACUCUGGCAAUAAAUACUUUAAUCCCCCAACAGGGACAAAAGUCAAGGCAUCUACCUUUUCUAUUCCUGGGUUUCGUCUGAUUAACCCUGAAGCAGAACACUAGGACAAACUUGUCUAUGCCUGAAAUGAAGCACAUCAGGCUUUUGGGAAAGUACAAUCCCAAACCAAAGGAAGUCCUGAGGAAUUCUUAGCAGUCUGUCAAAAUGGAGGGGAUGGAGGAACAGAUAAGGCCUCUUUCUCCCUGAUACUCUGCGCUGGAAGAGUAACAAACAAGGCAACUUCUAUUCUGCAUACAACACAGAGACCGAUUUUUUUCAGAUUCCAAAGGAGGAUCAAAAUAUGACCCAAGGAUCAAAUGGGGUUCAGAGAGCUUAACCUUGUCGGUAAUGAAGGGUCUUAGAAGUGAAACUGGUUUCACUGACACAGCUCUCUGGCCCUAGAAAUCCAACGUGCAACUAUUACAAUUUUUUUUCUGGCAAAACAAAAAGACAAGCCUCCCUCAAAUUAGGGAGUAAACAGUUAAUGAAUGAAAAUACAAGGCAGGUCGUGAUCAUAUUUAAUAGCCUAUAGGAAAAUACACAGAAAGGUGGGUCAGUGCCUGGAGUGAAAAAAGAUAUAGUCAGGACCAGGCCUAAUGCUGAUGAAUUAACAAAGCACUAUGGGAAAUGAAUAUUCACGUAGUAACUGACUUGGCACAAAAGUCUAUGAUCUUUUAUAGUACAUUCAGUUAAAAAAGAAGAAAUAGGGUAGAUUAGGGCAGCAGGCCCAGUUUCCUAGCCACCUUACCUUCACCACAUGUGUGUAUACAGACGAGGGACUCGUCCUGUCACAGCUUCAUUUUCUUGUAUUUACUUAUGGUUUCUAAGACAGAUUUUUUUUAUCCAGCUGAAUCAGACCUCAAGAUAUCCUAUAUCUCAGCUGGUCAAGACACAAAGAAAAAAAUCAGAACCACUUACAAGUUUUUGUUUUGUAAGUUGGCCCUUUAAGUCUCUGAGAGAACUUCCUUGUGAGAUUCUGGCCCUGGGGAUUAGCGACAGGACAUCGUGUUUUCUGCUGCCCCCUUUAAAGAAACCAUUUGUUUUUAACUGUAGAUAAGUUUUCUCUGCCUACACACUUUAUUUGUGAUGAACUGAAGGAGGUAAGGAAAUAAUUCAGUAUUUUCUGACUUGGUUCAGUGUAUCAUACCACAUUCCCAGUUCAUAAAAGCAUGAGUCUGUGGAUCUUAGUGCUCACAUGGAGCUCAAUAUCCCACUAUAAUGCAGGAAGUAACGAACUUCUAGAUAUAAAAGCAGUGCUCUCCAGAAACAAUGUUCUGAUCAGGAGAGAAUAUGCAGAUUUCUGAGUCCCAGCUGAGCUCUAGGAAUAAGUCCCAAUGAGCGACUGCCCUUGCUGAAAGUUGGGUCACCACCAGGACCUAGGUGAAUAGAAAUAAACAGCGCCUUCCACGCACUUGAAAAGUAAUCCUCUGGCCUUUAAAAAAAGCUGUACACUUACGAGUCAUUCUCAAUACACAGCUAGAAGAAAAUAAAUGGCUUUUUUCCUUAUUUACUCUAAAAACUAGUUUAAGAAGUGAGGAUACUAUGAUGUUAACUAAGAGGAGCUGGGACUGGAAAAUGGGAUAGCAUUUCCUAGAGAAGUCCACUAAUUUUCAAUUAGGAACAUGCUAAACUGGCUAACUCUACAACCACAACAAACUUUAUAAUACAUGAAGUGACUAGAAACUAACCAGCGUAGCUCUGAGCUUAGAAUGAAAGUACAACUGCAUAUGGUGAGUUGUAAAGCUGGUUUGAAAACAGAUUUGACCAAAGCGUACAGCACAAAUACUCCUAUAACAGCCAUAUCACAACCACCAAUACAGAAAUUUUUGCUUCUAAUUGGUCUGUCAUAUGCCAAUAUUUGUAAAGAGCUAUUAAAUGACCUAAAUGAAAAACAAAGACAUUUUUUGGGGGGAGACACAGCUAAAAGCCAUGGAUACCUUUGAGCACUUGGUAAAAAACGUGCCAAUCUAUCUGCCAGGCUGCUGCUUACUUCUAACAUAAGCAUCAUGGCUCUGUAAAAAAAUUUCUAAGGACGCUGACCUAGAAUUUAAGUUCUCAAAUACCUAUAAAGUAACUGUGGUCUCCUCCCAAAGGAUACACCUUUUAGCAGGCCCAAGACAAUGGGAACAAACAAUAAGAUUCCAGGGGUUUGAAUAUGGUAGAGUAGGAUUCUCAACCUCAGCACUACUAACAUUUAGGGCUGGAUCACUUUGUUGUGGGGGGCUGUCCUGUGCAUGUAGGACGUGUAGCAGCAUCCCUGGCCUCUACUAACUACAUGCCAGUAGCACCCCACCACACCAGUUAUCAUAACCACAUAUGAGCCAAUUGCUGCCAGAAGGCAAAAUCGGCCCUGAUUGAGAACCCCUGCUGUAAAGCUCUCUUGAGCCCCUUAGUGCGGACUACUUUUGGUUCAGGGCUCUGGAGAGAGGCUAAACCUCAGAUUGAGACCAAACAAGGUUCAGUAAAAGUUCAUUUAGAACUUCUGAGAAGAAAAACGAGGAUGGUGGUAAAGCAAAAGUAGAAAACCAGCAAAGCAGAGUUUCUUUUCAAAAGGAGAUAAGUGAUACUUCCAUAAAACAAAGUAAUUGAUAAGCCUUCAUUCAAUCUUUUUAUUCUUUAGGAAGUUAGGGCAGAUAACAGAGCACAGAUGCCAUAAAAAUUUCCCUUCCUAAAGAAAAAUGCCAGCUUUUAUGACUUUAAAUCAAGUCCUUAUCACGGAUGGCAAUCUCUGUGAGGUCCAUAAUUCAUCAACACAGGAAAAUAACAGUUAAAAGUUAAGAGAGGGCCCAUUAGAUUGGAGAGGAAAUGACUAUUCCCCUGUGCGAGUAGGAAAAGCAUUAUACAUGCUAGAAAUGCAGAUUGUAGUUCACUUUACAACUCACUGAGGUCAAUGAAAAGUCAAAAUGGACAAAAGCUGAGAAGAGGAUAAAAGAGCUACCUCAAAAACACGAGUUGAAAACACUGUAGAUAUUAUCUGGCUCAAAUCUGGGAAUGUACGAAAAGUAUGUAUUGACUCUUCAUCAUUUAGGUUUACUUUUGCUCUAGGUAGAAGGCAAUAAUUCUAGCCCUUCUUUGAAGAACCAUCAGGAAUAGAAAUGAUCUGCAAACAUCUGAGAUCCCAGUGUUAGCAAGGAUGAAAACAUGGGAAACCAGCCGCUAGGUGACAACGAGCCUCCAAUGCCGCACAUGGCAAUGUUGACUGCGCAGUCCUAAGCACACAGCACAGUGAGAAGUCUUUCCAGAGGAAAAAAUGUAGUUUCUGGUUUGCAAGGGGGAAUACAAGGUACAGAUCUAGUAUGAAAAAGAAGAGUUUCACACCCUUUUAGAGUCAUUAGUAUCCAGGCAAAACUGCUAAGGGUCCACAUCACUUAUAUAACUGAGCAGCUGCCUGGGAAAAGCCAGAAUUCAGAGCUACUUGAACAGUAUUGAACUGGUGAAAGAAACAAGAUAUAAAAGGAACCAAAGAGCAUGCAAACUAUUAGUUUGAAUCAAAUUGUUUCAAUGAUAGUACCCAGUUGAGUUGCAUUUUAGUGCCUAUUACACUUAUUAAAUUAAAUAAAAAGCACCUUAAAAUGACCUCUAUAUAUAAUCAAUACACAUCAUUAUAGUAGUUAUAUAAAAUGCAAUAUGCACACAAUUUAAGCUUCAAAGAAACUAAGACAUUUUCUUUAUAAUCUUCAUAAUCAUCAGAACUAUAAUUCUCAAAAUCGUGGGGGCGGGGGAACAGUAAUAGCACAUUUCAGUUACAGCUGACUUGAUUCAGAGGCUGACACUCUCAGAAUCCUGGG